rnacentral:lncRNA from 1 species
AAAGAGUUAACGGCUCUGAUUAUUCCCUAGAACAGUACCAUCAAGUACCGUCUACAUCCAAUUCCACCCGUUGAUGGAAACCUCCAGAAAAUACCCAAUGCCAACAGCCACCUGUCCUAUUUACUCUCCAGUAGAAUAAGGAAAAAAACCCAAAAUCAAAGAGAGGUGAGAGGGAGGAAGAAAUUUUCCUUUAUUUGCUACAAUUUUGAAUCGAUCCUGCACCCUC